CCUAGUUGGCAAUAUAUAAACGUUUCAUAUAUAUUCUUAGAUCCAUGACCGCGGCUGAUAUUUAUUUAUAAUCGCAGGGGCCGCUCUUGCUCGACUUCAACAUGGGCGUUUCUUUUGUCGUCUGCAAUGUAUAGAAUGAGCACUGAGCCGAAAAUGACCCAAAAUUGUGGAUAUUCGUAGUCGAGUGUUAUUAUUAAAUCCGCCCAAAAUCAAUGCACGGACAAGCUGCCAUUAGGAACACAAGAAUACGUUAUUCAUGCUGACGGAUGUAUUAUACUUCCGAUCGCUACUUUGCAAUCUUUUCUUCACUGACACUUGGAAAUUCGAAUGCCGUCGUGAAAUCAAUGAGGAAUUUUACCGAUUAAAUUGGAAGGUUAUGCAGCAUACUCGAAGGAAAAUAAAGACAUUAAGAUCUUUUUAUGUGCUAGUUAUUUGCUACAAGCGAGAGAGAGAAAGAGAGAGGGAGAGAGAAAAAAAAUAAUCGUGGAUAAUGGCAAUGAUGCAUUGCUUCAAUGCGUUUGACAAGCAUUGAGAAACUAAAGUACAAGGUCCCUGUUCCAAAUCAGCUGAUCAGCAGAGAGGCUAUAUGAGGUUUAAUUAAGCUUUAAUGAAUAUGAAUAUUUAUUAAAUACCUACGUUGAAGAUAUUUGUCAACCGACAGUUUAUUUGCGUCAGACAAUUGUGUGUAAUCAUAAGAUAAGUUCUCACAAGGAAAAACAACAGCUGAAAAAUGUCAGCGAAUAAUUUAGCAACAGUAAAUACAUCCAGAGGCAGUAGUUUCCAGAGUCGAAAUUCACAAAGGUCUAUCCUUCUGAAAGUAGUGAUUCUUGGAGAUGGUGGUGUCGGAAAGUCCUGUCUCAUGAACAGGUUCGUGUCGAAUCACUUUGAUGAGCACAGUUUUCACACUAUCGGAGUAGAAUUCUUGAAUAAAGAUAUUGAAAUCAAUGGUGAAGCAUAUACUUUACAAAUAUGGGACACUGCCGGGCAGGAGAGGUUUAAGACUCUCAGAACACCGUUCUAUAGAGGUUCGGACAUUUGUCUCUUGACCUAUGCAAUAGAUGAUAGAACGAGUUUUAGGAAUCUAGCGCUAUGGAGAUCUGAAUUUCUUAAGUAUGCAGAUGUUCAAGAAGGCUCCACAUUUCCAUUUAUUGUUGUUGGCAAUAAAGUGGAUGUGCCUGAAUCUGAGAGACAAGUUUCUACAGAAGAAGCUCAAGCAUGGUGUUUAGAAAAUGGCAGUCCCCCGUUAGUUGAAACAUCAGCAAAAGAUGCCACUAAUGUUGAGGCAGCAUUUGGAGCAGCGGUUGACGCAUGGGCACGAUUAGAAGCUAAAUUAGAGCGGCCUUUAGUGGAAGAUACUGUUGAUCUUUCUAAGCAACAGUCUCCGCAUCGUUCGAGCUGUUGUAUGCCUGUGUCCAGCGCUGAGUAGGUCACGGCUUGUGAUUUUAAUCAUUUUUCUUUUUAUAGUUCGAUGAAGUUAUGCAUGAUGCCUUUUUCUUAAGAUCUAUAUUUGUGGUAAGAUAAUUGAAAUAAGUGAUAAGAAAAUGGUCAUGAUAUACAGUCUUUAUCUGAUGCAAACCAACUCUGAAACAAUUGUUUAAAGUUUCUUUAUGUUUGCAAGAAAUAGAAAACAUCGAAAAUUGAAACUGAUAGAGACAGUGUUUAUUCUAUUCAGGAUCUAUAUGGACAUUGCGCAAAUGUCUAACAAAGUAAUUUGAAGAGAAUCUCUUGUGUGUCUACAAUAUCUCUCUUCAUUAUACGAUGAACUUUCUUUAUUGACGCUAGAAUUUCGUCGGUUGUGUAAAUGGAAUAUGUUGUUACAAUUUUUCGACAUUUUAAGUCACAGUUGAGAUUUCUAAAGAAUGAAUGGACAGGAUAUUAUUUAAUGAGUGAUGACUUUACUGGUUGACUUAUAUUCUCUUCUUUUCGUGAAUCUUAACAAAAUACUCAAAUAAAGCCACAGAAAUUGUAUAUGAGACAAAUAAUUAUAUUGUUGUGGUUGAUAUUUCCAGAAUACAAUUUUAAAAUAUAAGAUCAAGUUGAACGUCCUAUUCUAUCAACGCUUUGUGCAGCUCUUGAGCUACUGACAGUAUUUUAAGUAUUUCACACAAUUGGCUUGUGAUAAAAUAAUAAUAAUAAUACAAUGAUAAUAAUAAUAAAUAAUUAUAAUCAUGAAUUGAAUAAGAAAUAGGUAUAAAUUCUAAUUUUAGCUGUGUAAUAUCUAAAUUUGCCUUAUCCUUGCGACACAUGUUUAAAAUAAUAGUAAAGCGACAUGAUUUUUUUAAGUCAAGUCUUGCUAUGGAUAUAUAUAUUCAUAUAUAUCAUAUUUAUAUGUGAAUUUGACGCUUAUAUAAAGUAUGGCAUAUGCUUUUCUGUUCUUAGAACAUUCUAUCCAAUGUCUAACAAUUUUCCGGCAAAAUUAACCACAAGUGCCAAGAAGACGCUAUCGCACACGUUUCUCCUGUUUCAUGUCGAGUGCUAGUGAGCAUCCAUAUUAGGUCCUGACCAAAAUUAAAUUGAUUUCUCAGUUAUAUGAGAAAUGGAGAAUAUACUAAACAGUACAACUAUGCUCAAGAACUUAGUCUCAAAUGUUAAAUUAAAUAGAUGAGACAAAAAACGAAAUGCAGUUUUCGACGUAAACAGGAGAAACAUGAUCGCGCUGCUUGGCACUUUUUGCACACAUUUUUGCAACCGUCUUCGGCACUCAAAGUUAAUAAUAUUACGCAAAUGAAGCUUUUUAUACGAUCACAGAUGCGUACGACGUGUUCCUACAGCCGUGUAUCUCGAAAGAGAUAUUUGAUUCUUUAGAAAUGCCUCGUAUACAGCAUAAAGGAAUAUUCAAUGUUGUUGCAACUGAACAGAAAAUGAUUUUUCAACGAGAUUCGGAUUAAUUUGUGUGCAUGCUGGUGCUUUUUAUAUAUAGCUCUAUGUGAAGCAUAUAAAUUUAUAAUGAAAUAUAGCAUUAAUUAAGAUGUUAAGGGCGUAAAACUAAUCAUAUCAAAGUGAUAAAUUCACCUCAUAAUUACCAUACAUAGACGCAUCAUUCUUACGCCGUCUCCAUAUGAAAUCUACAAAUUAUUUUUAAAAGAACUAUUGCACAUAUAUGUCUUAUUUGUGAAAAAAUGCGCAUACUGAUUGUUAUUUAUUAUUUUUAUAUACUUAGUAGACUCACGGCUACACUUACUCGUAUGUACAUGAUCUAUGUAUAUCUGUGUAUGCCUUAAAAUUUUAUAAUUCUGGGGAUCGAUUUUGCAAGGAAAAAUAAACUUACACUGCUUGUUUAAGAAGCGUUCUUCGAUUACUAUUUGUCAAAUAAAAAUUCUCGCAAAAACAAGAACUGAGAACGAGAAUUUAUAACGCGAGAAUUAUUAGGGAGAAGAUAAAAUCUUUUAAAUUCCUUUCCCUUUUUUUAUUUUAUUCGAAAUAAUAUUUUCUGAUAUUUACAUACAGUAAUAUAUAUGACAAUUUUUAAUAAUGGUUCAAUUUGUAACGAUAUUUUAUAAUUUGUUUUUUUACACUAGUUCAAGAUAAUGUAGCAGCGCCUUUUCCCAAGUAUAAAAAAAAAAAGUUACUGAUAAACGUUUUUACACAAGCAUAAUGUAAUAAAAACAAAUAUUAAUAUACAAUUGAGAAAAAGUGCUCCUUUGCGGCAACGAGUCUCACAUGAAUAUCUUAACAA
rnacentral:misc_RNA from 1 species